rnacentral:rRNA from 1 species
UAAUUAUAUAUUUAUUAUUUAUUUUGUUUAAAAGUGUUUUUAUAGAAAUAUUUUUGUUUAUAGUAAUUUUUAUUGAAAUAAUAAUUUUAAUUUUAUUGAUAGUACUGUGUAGGAAUAUAUUUAUAUUUAUUUUAAGUAAUUUUUGUUUAAUGUACCUUUUGUAUCAGGGUUAAUUAAUUUUUAUAAUCUAUUUUAUUAUCCCGAAAUUAGAUGAGUUAAAAUUUAAUGUAGUUUGAUGUUUUAUAUUCAUCUAUAAUUUUUUUUAGUAAUGAAAUGUUAUUCGUAUUUAAUUAUCUGGUUUUUUUAGAUUUAAAUUUAAUUUAUAUAUUAAUAGAUUUUAGAUUAAUUAAUUUUGAAUUUUUAUUAAUAUAAAUGUAAUAAGGGAUAAGCUUUAUUUUAAUUUUAUAAUUAUUUAAUUUUAUUUAUUUUAUGUGGGCUUGAGGGUAGUCAUCUGGAUAAUUGUGUUAUUACGUGUUUUAUUUUAAUUUUAUUUUAUUUAAUUUAAUUUUUUAUAGGAAUUUAUAAAUUAAUAAUUUUUUAUAGGAAUAAUGAUUGAAUUAGUAAAUUUAUUAAUUAUUUUAUAGGAACUCGGCAAUUUUAUUAUUCGCUUGUUUAACAAAAACAUGUCUUUUUGUGGAUUUUAUUUAAAGUUUGACCUGCUCAAUGAUGUUUAUUUAAUAGCCGCAGUAUUUUAACUGUGCUAAGGUAGCAUAAUCAAUUGUCUUUUAAUUGGGGGCUAGAAUGAAUGGUUUGACGAAGUAAUAUCUUUCUUUAAAUUAAUUAAUUUAAUUUAAUUUUUAAGUUAAAAAGCUUAAAUUAAAUUAAGGGACGAGAAGACCCUAUAGAUUUUUAUAUUUGUUUUAGUGUGAUUUUUUUAGAUUAUUAAUGAUUAUAUUAAAAUAAAUAUUUUGUUGGGGCGAUUUGGGAAUUUAAAUAACUUUCUAUUUUUUUUUCAUUUAUUUAUGUGUAUUUUUGAUCUUUUAUUAAUGAUUGAAAGAGUAAAUUACCUUAGGGAUAACAGCGUAAUUUUUUCGGAGAGUCCUUAUUGAUGAAUAAAGUUUGCGACCUCGAUGUUGGAUUAAAAUUAAUUUUUGGUGUAGGAGCUUUAAUUAUUAGGUCUGUUCGACCUUUAAUUUUUUACAUGAUCUGAGUUCAGACCGGCGUGAGCCAGGUCAGUUUCUAUCUUUAAUAAUUUAUUAUUUCUUAGUACGAAAGGACCAGGAAUAAAUAUUAUAUAUUAAUUGUUUAGAAUAAUU